CAGGCUUCCUGCCGCUGGCCAAGGCCAAGCCAAUCAGGGGUGAUAGUAACACCUCUGUGAUAACAUAUUUAAGAUCAGAAAGUUAUUGCACAGUGAAAAAUUCCAACCAGGGAAGAGUGGAGUGAGAACAUGGGAACAACAACAUAGACACCAAGUUGCAGAGGGGAGGAAGAGAGCAGCUUUAGUGGGUACCUGGCAUCUGGCCAGGGUCAACCCACUACAGCAACCACGAGGGCAAGCAGACAUUAACACCAGACCUUUGGCACCUGUCCAGAGAGCAGAAACUGAAUCUGUGGGAAAUCCACCUUCCAAGUUGUUUUGGAGUCAUAACAUUUAGAAACCUAGACUGCUGCAG